rnacentral:rRNA from 1 species
UACAGAGGGGGCAAGCGUUGUUCGGAGUUACUGGGCGUACAGGGCGCGUAGGCGGCGCACCAAGUCAGGCGUGAAAGCCCUGGGCUCAACCCGGGAAUUGCGCUUGAGACUGGUGUGCUUGAGUACGGGAGAGGAUAGUGGAAUUCCCAGUGUAGAGGUGAAAUUCGUAGAUAUUGGGAAGAACACCGGUGGCGAAGGCGGCUAUCUGGACCGUAACUGACGCUGAGGCGCGAAAGCGUGGGGAGCAAACAGG